GCGUUCUGCCAUACUUCCGGUCACGUGGGGCGAAAGGAAGCGGUGUUUGUCACGUGGCCCUUUCUGGGCUCGUUUUAACUGGGGAGAAUGCAGUUCCUCCUUCCGUUCCUUUCGCGGGUGCGCGAGAGGCAGCUGGAGAGCGGUCAGCGGCCCACGAGGUAAUGAGGAUAGAGUCAGCAGUUAGUAUUUGUUUCUGAUGGUAUUGCAAGUUUCCUGCCUCGACUCUGCUAUGCUACUCCUUUGUAACCAGCAAGAUGUCACAUGAACUGUUAAAGAAAUAAGGCUAUGAGCAUUGGCCUCAGAUUUUGUUGCUCUGUCCAGAAAUCCCUAUAUUGUGAGAUGGGCUUUCAAAUGCUGCUUACCUGAAGCCUGCCAGCUCUCACCUGAACUGCUGAGUGGGAAAUACCUUCGUUAUGUGACUUGCUGAGCUCAGACACAUUCAGAAAUGCCAUUUUCCUGACUUUGUUCUGCUCUUUGCAGCCAACAAGAUGUUGGUUGAAUUCUCUUAAGAACAAGAAUUUACAUCAACCGUGGUGUUAAAUAUAUGUUGUCUAAUGUGCAGUUAACUUGCAGCUACCAAGAAGUCGUACAGUUUUCAAGUUCUCAUUCCUUCUGAGUUUGAAACUGAUUCCCUUCACCACAUCUUCUCAGGCAUGUUGUGGGAAGCAGCCCUGUGAACCAGGGAAAAGAUGAGUGUGUUCUGACUUCCUGCACCAAAGAAUCUGCGGGAGUAUAGGCAUGUACAGUACAUACAGGGCUGGCACCAGCAAAGAAAGCAGGUUCCUGGAUGGCCAAUAGAAAGGGUCAGCAAUCCGUCUGUUGGGGUGGCACAUCCAGGUCAGUGGUGGCAAUUCGGCGAUGGUUCCUUCAGCGGCAGCUCAAUCGCUCCUCUUCAGUCUUCAGCGGCACUUUGGCAGCGAGACCUUCAACCUUUUUUUUCCCCUUUGCCACUUGAGGUGGCAAAAAAGCUGGAGCCAGCCCUAUCUGUUUAGACUAGAGUAUGAGCUCUUCAAUGCAGGGACUGUCCAUAUUAGGUGCCAUACAAACAAUGGGCCCUAAUUUCACUUUAAGGCCUCUAGGUGCUACUGGCAUACAAAUAAUAAAAUAGCUAUCAUACCUCUAA